UUUGAUUUAUCUCAUUGGUCUUUUGUAUCUUCAGGAUCCACAAGUUGUAACUGGCUCUCAUGACACAACUAUCAAGUUUUGGGAUCUUGUUGCUGGGAAGACAAUGUUAACACUAACCCACCAUAAGAAAUCUGUUCGUUCAUUAGCGUUGCAUCCAACAGAGCAAACUUUUGUAUCAGGAUCGGCAGAUAAUAUUAAGAAGUUUAGUCUGCCA